ensembl:lncRNA
GUUAAUUGGGUUCCCAAAGUUGCAUGAGAAUCCACAUGUAAGACCCUGAGGGUCCCUGCCCCCAGUUGGUUCUGAUUGAUAAAUAAAGUUGCUGGUGGCCAAUGGCUGGGCAGGAACACAGAGGUGGGACUUUAGGAUUCGUGGGCAAAGGGACCAAGAGAAGAAGAAGAAGAAUUUAGAAUUGCCAUGCCCGAAAAGGAGUAAGGACCAGGUCUGAGAGAAAGCACACCAAUCAUGUAAGAGCCUGGGGAAGAGUGAACCCCAACACCCCCUCCCCCCCACCCUCACGCAUUGGGUCUGGGGCAACAAAGAUAAAAUAUAGAUUUUUUUUAGUAAGUAAUAACUCAGGAAUAUCGGAGGGGAGGCGUUAGCCACAUGGAGGUUUAGAGUGGUCCAGCCAUUGAGUUGUUUAAGGCAUAUUAAAAUAUAAGGCUGUGUGUGUGUGUCUUUCAUUUGGAAACCCAGAACAUUGGGGUGGGUAGCAAGAAAUGCACUGCAACUUCAAUAAGUUGUAGCUUCAGAAUGUAUCUAAGUAAGACAACAUCUACUUAGUGUGCAUUUACAACGUGAUAGGCUCAGCUCUUCACCUUGGGAAUAUAGCGGUGGAUGGGCUACACUCUUGUCCUAAAUAUGUAAAUAAAUGAAUAAUGAGAUAAUUGACCAUGAUUCUGUUUGUCGUUUGCCUUUUGUUUGUUUUAAUGAGACAGGAUCUCAUUGUGUAGCCCUGGCUACUUAUAGCCUUCUGUGUAGACCACUGUGGCCUUGAACUUACCAAGAUCCGCUGUUUGCCUCUGCCUUCAGAAUAUUGGGAUUAAAGGACUACCCUACCAGGCCACUAACUGUAUGAUUCCAAAGUAUGGAAACAUGUUAAAAAUAGGGCAAUGUAUAGUUCAGGUAGGCAGGGGAGAAGGGGAUGUAAGGGGUUUGCCAAGUGUGGUUUGAAUGUGAUGUCCUCCCGUAGUAUCUGACAUUUAAGUACUUGGUCCCCAGUUUGUGGCACUGUUUGGGUAGGAUUAGGAGGCGUGAUCUUGCUGAAGAGAACAGGUCACCGAGGGUGGGCUUCUAAAUUUCAAAGGCCUCAAGCCAUUCCGAGUUCAUCCUCUCUGCUUCCUGUUUAUGGUUCGGGAGAGUUACUAGCUUCCAGCUCCAGCCAACAUGCUUGCUUCCUGCCAUACUUCCUUGCCAUGAUGGUGGUAAACUCUUAUCCCUCUGGAACCAUAAGCCAAAUCAAAGCGUUUCUUCCACAGGUUGCUGUGGCCAUGUCGUUUCAUCACAGCAACAACAAAGUAACUAAAGCAGCAGCUGGUACCAGGAGGGGGCGGUUUGCUCUGGACCUUUUGCUCUGACAGGUUUGACCAUGACUUUUUUUUUUCCAGGACUGAGGAAGACUUGGAGACUUUGGACUAGAAAAGUUGUUGAGCAUUAGAGUCUCAAGAUGUUUUUCCAACACAGCAUGGUCUGUGGCAAUUGCUUGACAAUUAAAGGGCUUCCUGGAGUUGCGUGGAACACAGUCUUAGGACAUACCAUGAAGUCCAUCAGACUUUGGACAAGCUCCACAGGCGAGACCAGAAGAGAAGCUGCCUGUCUGGAUCACCUUAACCCGAAGACCAAGUUCAGGAUUCCAUGCUUGCUGAGAUGAUUGACAGGCAUCGUAGGAGAAACGACAUCUGGGAAAUUUCUCAUCAGGAGAUACUUAUCUCAUGUCAAUGGAAUAUGGAGAACAAAUGUUGGUUUCGUUUGCCAAACAAAAGCACAGAGAGUACCCGGCACCCGUGGGGACAUAAUACACAGUUUCAGUUUGAUAUCUCUUGACCGGAAUGUGAUGCUGGCUGUUUCCUGAUGAGGUCCUAUUGGCUCUACAAGCUUUAGUUACUUUGUGGCAAGGUCGGAGAAGGAUGCCUCACUGAACACCUGCACCCGGGGUUGACUGAAACAGUAUGGGAGACUGUAUCUGUUCAAAGCUCAAUUUCCAAACACUUUCUUCUGAAC